GCAGACACAUUCCAGCCAAUCAGCAGCAGACUCUCCCUCCCAGACCCUCCUACCUCCUGGACAGCUCACUAAGAAUGCAGCUUCACAAUGAAUGUAAAAUGGAUGCUGUCCAGGAGGUGGGAGGGUCUGGGAGGGAGGGUCUGCUGCUGAUUGGCUGCAAUGUGUCUG
rnacentral:miRNA from 1 species